CUUUCUCAUAAAAAAUCCAAAUGAUGCAAAAUUUAUAUCCAAAUUCAUUGUCUUGAAAAGAUCUACAAAUUUCAUGUUGAAGGUGUUUUCAUUUGAGGCUUUUUUAAGGGAGUCGCCAAUUGGAUUAGCGCCUCCUCUUAAAAAAUACACAUAGGCGCCAAUUGGAUUGGCUAGGGCAGGUGCCCUAGCCAAUCCAAUUGGCGCCUCCUUGUAAUUUUUAAGAGGGGUCGCCAAUCCAAUUGGCGCAUCCUCCUAAAAGUGGGGUAGAUUGGGAAUUUUCCUGAAAAGUGGGUUAUUUUGGGAAUUUCUUCGAAAAAGUGGGUUAUCUCGGUAAAUUUGCCGAUUUUAGAUGAAAAAAGAAAAAGAAGAAAAAGACCAGAGGAUUGGAGAAUGAGUUUUUUUUGAAGAAAAGGAAAUCUUUCACAUUCAAUAGCCUCGCUCUCACCCGUGGAACCUCAUUCCGCCAUCCUGCGACCCCAGCCGGUCACCCCGGAACUCACCACUCCAACGACUUCGAAGCACGAAACGCGAAGAGAGAAGUCGGGGUGUUAGUUUUACAUCUCUGUUUUUCCCGUGAAGCAGAACAAUAGAGAAGAGGGAGAGCUCGACGAGGAAUUAGGGAGUACCUAUUGAGCUCAUCUCAGCUUGGUUUUCUUUUUUUUGAGGAAUCGAACUUUGUCAUUACCGGUACCGCAUCAUGUACCUCCGUUGGCCGGUUUUUGGUUUUGCUUGUGAAUCCAGCAUCACCAUGCAUUUAUCCAUGUUCGCCUCUUUGCUAAUUGUUGUUUAUCAUGUGAUUCCGACAUGACACAACAUUGGAGAUGAUGCAUAGCCUGGUAGAUGCCAUGUCGCCAUUAUAUACAUGCUUGCAUAUAUGAGUGUUUAUGCGACAAUAUAUUUCCACUACUUGUUGAGGGUAUUCUCGCCCAGAUUUUUGUUGCCGCGUUAAUUACUUCCAUGCAUAGUUGCCUUGAUUUUGUUAUUGAUAUUUGCAUCAUUACACUAAUCUUACAAUGUCGCAGAAACGAUCUUGAUCUUGAUUCAUGAACACACUGAUAUUACACUGUUGUGACCUUGGUUUUAAUUUGGUUAUCAUGCUAGGUCUCGCACCACUGUGGCGGUGAUCUUUAUUUCUUUUGUUACAUCCAUAGUUACAUUAUUGUCUCACUAGUAUCGGUAUAGUUGUAUGCACUGAUUAUGCCAUGCCGUUAUUUAUAUAUUAUGCCUCUACUGUUGGCACUAGUUCUACUGUGGGAUGUUAUCAUGUAACUACACUACCGUUUCUGCCACCCUGAGGAUUAUUUACUUACUACUUAUGUUAUUAA